CUUUACCUCUGGGAAGGCCAGCUGCUGUCAUUGAAUAUGGCAGAGAUGUUUUUCUUCCUACCACCUGUGCAGAUAAAUGAAUAGACAUUAGCAGAGCUGACAGCUGUUUCUGCUCAGAGGAAACAGUGACUCCCAGAUGAAACGCUGACUGGCUGUGGAUCAGGUGGUAGAGCGGGUUGUCCACUAAUCAUAGUGUUGGCGGUUUGAUUCCCGGCCCACGUGUCUCCACAUGCCGAAGUGUCCUUGGGCAAGACACUGAACCCCAAGUUGCUCCCGAUGGCAAGCUAGCGCCUUGCAUUGGUGUGUGUGUGAAUGGGUGAAUGAGAAACCAUGUAAAGCGCUUUGUAGAACCACUAAAGGUUAAAAAGUGCUAUAUAAUUGCAGACCAUGUUUUUUUUUUUUUAAUAUUGCCGGGCAUUUGAAGGAGACAUUUGCAGACUCUAUAGAGCAAAACAAUGCAGUCUUGUAUGAAAUAUAAGGAAUUAGGAUUA